CAGCAAGCAAAAAUAGAUCAAGUUCCCUACUAAUCUCCACCCAGAACUUGCGCGGCUGACAACAGUGAAAACUGAGAGGAAGCUACUGAAUCCUGCCUGAGAUGGAGGACUUCCACUUCUGCCCUAAACGCCUGCGGUUCAAUGGGUGAGGCCCUGCCCUGGACCCACCAUGUUAAUACAAUUGUGAAGAAAACAUGGCAGCACCUCUACUUCUUUAGGAGUCUCUGGAGAUUCGUCAUGAUAUCUAAAACUUUGACAAACUUCUACAGAUGUGUAGUGGAAGAGUGAAUUGACUGGUUGCAUCAUGGCCUGGUAUGGAAACACCAAUGCCUUUGAAAGGAAAAUCCUCCAAAAGGUAAUGGAUUUGGCACAGUACAUCACGGGCAAAGCCCUCCCAACCGUCCAGCCCACCUACAUGAAACUCUGUCAUAGGAAUGCCGCAUCCAUCGGCAGAGAUCCUCACCACCCACACCAUGCUUGUUUCGCACUACUGCCAUCAGGUAGAAGGCACAAGAGCCUCAAGAUUUGCACCACCAGGAUACUACCCCUCAGCCAUCAGGCUCUUAAACAAAGGGGUUAAUUACACUCUCUUGCCCAUGCAUUGAGAUGUUCCCACAAACAAUGAUCUCACUUCAAGGGCUCUUUAUCUUGUGAUUUCAUGCUCUUGUUAUUUAUGGCCAUUUAUUUAUAUUUGCAUUGGCACAGUUUGUUGCCUUCUGCACUCUGGAUGAUCUUUUAUUGAUCCUAUUAUAGUUACUAUUUUAUAGAUAUGUUGAAUA